rnacentral:rRNA from 1 species
GNNGCNNGNNGCANCUNUCAUGCNCANUGUGCACGUUACCAAACUGUGUGCCUCGGCGGGGUCACGCCCCGGGUGCGUCGCAGCCCCGGAACCAGGCGCCCGCCGGAGGAACCAACCAAACUCUUUCUGUAGUCCCCUCGCGGACGUAUUUCUUACAGCUCUGAGCAAAAAUUCAAAAUGAAUCAAAACUUUCAACAACGGAUCUCUUGGUUCUGGCAUCGAUGAAGAACGCAGCGAAAUGCGAUAAGUAAUGUGAAUUGCAGAAUUCAGUGAAUCAUCGAAUCUUUGAACGCACAUUGCGCCCGCCAGUAUUCUGGCGGGCAUGCCUGUCCGAGCGUCAUUUCAACCCUCGAACCCCUCCGGGGGAUCGGCGUUGGGGAUCGGGACCCCUCACACGGGUGCCGGCCCCGAAAUACAGUGGCGGUCUCGCCGCAGCCUCUCCUGCGCAGUAGUUUGCACAACUCGCACCGGGAGCGCGGCGCGUCCACGUCCGUAAAACACCCAACUUUCUGAAAUGUUGACCUCGGAUCAGGUAGGAAUACCCGCUGAACUUAAGCAUAUCAAUAAGCGGAGGAAAAACUUCUUAGUUUGCAUCCAGGUAAAAUUAGCGCUCUAAAGAGACAGCUGGUUAUCAACCGGAAAGGAAGGUGGGGGAUGACGUCAAGUCCUCAUGGCCCUUGACGGCCCCUGGCCUACACGCGUGCUACAAUGGGUCGUUAGAAUGGGGAUGCUCAGGGCUUGACCACUUACCUAAUCUCAUUAAAUCCGAUCGAAGUGCGGAUUGACCUCUGCUACUCGGAUCGAUAAAGUCUGAAUACAUUAGCAAUCUGAAUAACACGACCACGGCGAAUACGUUCCCGANCCUUUGUACACACCGUCCGUCACACCAUGGAGUGGGAUGUUAGCAUGAAGUAAGCAGCCCAACAUCCCGAGGACGUUCCUGACA